CUUGUUUUCUAUUUUUACAUUCUUAAUUUCUGGUAACAAACCAAAAAAAGAACAUUAUGUCUUAUCCGUGAAUGGAUAUUUGAUCAAGGAUAUUCUGUACGAAUUGAAAAACUAUCGAAAAAUAUGCCGCUCAUUAAUUUGAUCAUAGGACUACAAAGAAGAAAAGAGCAUUACAACAGACUGUUGUUGCGGUGUGUCUCAUUCAUUUGAAUUAGUGUUCCAAGCAUUUUAUUAUACGAAAAAAAAUUACGAUUCACAGACAAUAUUCUAAUCGUUUUAUCGAAGUGCUAAUGCUAAUCUUUACAUUUUUGCGAGUGAACAUUUGAAUGUUGAUAGUUCAGUAAAAUAAUGCAUUGACAUUUGGUCUGAACGGUGUUAUUUUGGUUUUGAUUUGUGUAUUAAAGGGUGGCUAUGGAGGCGGUUAUCCUUUUCAAGCACCACAGGGCGGCUAUCCCGGUACGAUACGGAUCGUUCUGGAAAGAUAGCACCAAAAGAAUUGCAUCAACAUUACAAAAUGGUAAUGGGAAAAAUUUCUCGGAUCGAUGCUGUACAUUGUUGGUUUCAAUGUUUGAUACGUCGAAUGGCGGUUCGGUUGAUAUUCAUCAAUUUGAUAAAAUGUUUGAUUACAUAAACCAAUGGCUGAAUAUUUUUAAGACAUACGACCGUAACGCAUCAGAUCUAACCAAGGGGGGGAGACACGGAACACUGAGUAAAAUUAGAACAUUAUUCAACGAUAAUAGGAUAAAUAGAAGAAAUUAGUGAAUUAAGUUUGCCAAUUUUACCGCUUAUGGACGUAUUGUUUAUUGUUUACAAAAUAGUCCCGUUAGGUCUUCCAUAUAAGUAUUGACAGUGCAAGCGAUUUUACUAGAAAUAAUAGCACUUUUGCACCAAAACUAGAAAAAUUAGAGGCUUUAUGUCAAAAAUAUAUAACAUUGAAUGAAGCUAGACUCUACUAGAAUUUGUGUCUCACCCCUAGGGUCCAACUGAUGACCAGGAAAUGAAUCAAGUGAAAAAUGUAAUUUUGCAUUUCCAUGUUUGCCGAAUAUAUUCUCGAAGUAUACCAUUUCUCUAGGAAUUAUUCUGUCGACUCAAUGUGUUAUCGAAUAUAUUCGGCAAUUAUGAAAAAAGU